GCCCCAAUAGCUCAAUUGGCAGAGCGCCUGACUUGUAAUCAGGAGGUUGUAGGUUCAAGUCCUAUUUGGGGCU
rnacentral:tRNA from 1 species